rnacentral:rRNA from 1 species
GAGUGGCGAACGGGUGAGUAACACGUGGGAAACCUACCUCUUAGCAGGGGAUAACAUUUGGAAACAGAUGCUAAUACCGUAUAACAAUAGCAACCGCAUGGUUGCUACUUAAAAGAUGGUUCUGCUAUCACUAAGAGAUGGUCCCGCGGUGCAUUAGUUAGUUGGUGAGGUAAUGGCUCACCAAGACGAUGAUGCAUAGCCGAGUUGAGAGACUGAUCGGCCACAAUGGGACUGAGACACGGCCCAU